GUUGUCGUGGCUGAGUGGUUAAGGCGAUGGACUAGAAAUCCAUUGCGCAGCUUCAAAUCCUGCCGACAACA